rnacentral:rRNA from 1 species
AGCUAGUUGGUGAGGUACGGGUCACCAAGGCAUCGACGGGUAGCUGGUCUGAGAGGACGAUCAGCCACACUGGGACUGACACACGGCCCAGACUCCUACGGGAGGCAGAAGUAGGGAAUAUUGGACAAUGGGCGCACGCCUGAUCCAGCCAUGCCGCGUGUGUGAUGAAAGCCCUAGGAUUGUAAAGUUCUUUCAACGGUGAAGAUAAUGACGGCAACCGUAGAAGAAGCUCCGGCUAACUUCGUGCCAGCAUCGCGGUAAUACCAAGGGAGCUAGCCUUGUUCGGAAUUACUGGCCGUAAAGCGCCCGUAGGCGGGCUAUUAAGUUAGGGGUGAAUUCCCGGGGAUCACCCCCGGACCUGCCCUUGACCCUGGUAGUCUAGAGUUCGAGAGAUUUGUGUGGAAUUCCGAGUGUAGAGCUGAAAUUUCUCCAUAUUCGGAGGAACACCAAUUUGUGAACGCUGUUCACUGUCUCCCUACUGACACUGAGGUGC